GACGAAAUUAAAGCACGAAAAACUAACGGCCGUUGUUUUUAUAAAUAAUCUGACGGAACUGCUUGUGUUUGAGAGAUUACUUUCAGAUAGUCAACAGCAUUACCGCGCUGAGAGUACUAGUUCUAGUCCGAUCACUAAAGUCAAGCAUCGUUUAGCAAGGUUAGUAGUUCGAUUGAUGACCGCUUGGGAACACCGUGUGUUGUUGCCAUAAAUAAAAAAAAAAAAUAUUCGACGGCCAUGGCGCGGUGACAGCACUAGCUUCCGCUCGAUCAUCUGGUCCCAAGCCCAGACAAAGGAGGAGAUUUCAGAGGCGAGGCUAGAAACCUACCCUCGGUAAAGAACAAUAAAAAUGCUCCUGGAAUUAGCAAUAAAGCCUCGGAUUGGACGGAAAUAAUGAUGAUGACAGCACAAGCAAAUAGGAAUGUGCAAA
rnacentral:lncRNA from 1 species